GACAGAGGGUGCAAACGUUGUUCGGAAUUACUGGGCGUAAAGCGCGUGUAGGCGGCUCCGCAAGUCGGAUGUGAAAGCCCUGGGCUUAACCUAGGAAGUGCAUUCGAAACUUCUGAGCUUGAGUUCUGGAGAGGAAGGCGGAAUUCUCGGUGUAGAGGUGAAAUUCGUAGAUAUCGAGAGGAACACCGGUGGCGAAGGCGGCCUUCUGGACAGUGACUGACGCUGAGACGCGAAAGCGUGGGGAGCAAACAGG
rnacentral:rRNA from 1 species